rnacentral:rRNA from 1 species
GACGAACGCUGGCGGCGUGCUUAACACAUGCAAGUCGAACGGAAAGGCCCUGCUUUUGUGGGGUGCUCGAGUGGCGAACGGGUGAGUAACACGUGAGUAACCUGCCCUUGACUUUGGGAUAACUUCAGGAAACUGGGGCUAAUACCGGAUAGGAGCUCCUGCUGCAUGGUGGGGGUUGGAAAGUUUCGGCGGUUGGGGAUGGACUCGCGGCUUAUCAGCUUGUUGGUGGGGUAGUGGCUUACCAAGGCUUUGACGGGUAGCCGGCCUGAGAGGGUGACCGGCCUCAUUGGGACUGAGAUACGGCCCAGACUCCUACGGGAGGCAGCAGUGGGGAAUAUUGCACAAUGGGCGGAAGCCUGAUGCAGCAACGCCGCGUGCGGGAUGACGGCCUUCGGGUUGUAAACCGUUUUCGCCUGUGACGAAGCGUGAGUGACGGUAAUGGGUAAAGAAGCACCGGCUAACUACGUG